UUGACGGAGAGUUUGAUCCUGGCUCAGGACGAACGCUGGCGGCGUGCUUAAUACAUGCAAGUCGAACGAUCCCGGGACUUCGGUCCCAAUGGGAGAGUGGCGAACGGGUGCGUAACACGUGAGAAACCUGUCCCGGAGAUGGGAAUAGCCCAGGGAAACCUGGAUUAAUACCCAAUACCCUGAGAGCGUCGCCUGGCGCACUCAGGAAAGGUUCCGGCGCUCCGGGAGGGUCUCGCGGCCUAUCAGCUAGUUGGUGAGGUAAAGGCUCACCAAGGCAUCGACGGGUAGCUGGUCUGAGAGGACGAUCAGCCACACUGGGACUGAGACACGGCCCAGACUCCUACGGGAGGCAGCAGUGGGGAAUCUUGCGCAAUGGGCGAAAGCCUGACGCAGCCACGCCGCG
rnacentral:rRNA from 1 species